AACGAACGCUGGCGGCAGGCUUAAUACAUGCAAGUCGAGCGCAGGAAGCCGUCUGAACCCUUCGGGGGGACGACGGUGGAAUGAGCGGCGGACGGGUGAGUAACACGUAAAGAACCUGCCCAUAGGUCUGGGAUAACCACGAGAAAUCGGGGCUAAUACCGGAUGUGUCAUCGGACCGCAUGGUCCGAUGAUGAAAGGCGCUCCGGCGUCGCCCAUGGAUGGCUUUGCGGUGCAUUAGCUAGUUGGUGAGGUAACGGCCCACCAAGGCGACGAUGCAUAGCCGACCUGAGAGGGGGAUCGGCCACACUGGGACUGAGCCACGGACCAGACUCCUACGGGAGGCAGCAGUAGGGAAUCUUCCACAAUGGACGAAAGUCUGAUGGAGCAACGCCGCGUGAACGAUGAAGGCUUUCGGGUCGUAAAGUUCUGUUGUAAGGGAAGAACAAGUGCCGCAGGCAAUGGCGGCACCUUGACGGUACCUUGCGAGAAAGCCACGGCUAACUACGUGCCAGCCGCCGCCGUAAUAC
rnacentral:rRNA from 1 species